CCUACGGGAGGCAGCAGUGGGGAAUAUUGGGCAAUGGGCGCAAGCCUGACCCAGCAACGCCGCGUGAAGGAAGAAGGCUUUCGGGUUGUAAACUUCUUUUCUCAGGGACGAAGAAAGUGACGGUACCUGAGGAAUAAGCCACGGCUAACUACGUGACAGCAGCCGCGUUAAUACGGAGGAUGCGAGCGUUAUCCGGAUUCAUUGGGUUUAAAGGGUGCGCAGGCGGGCCUUUAAUCCGGCGGUGAAAUUGCGGGGCUCAACCCCGCCGAGCCGUCGGAACUGGGGGCCGUGAGUGCGGCGGAGGCAUGCGGAAUGCGCGGUGUAGCGGUGAAAUGCAUAGAUAUCGCGCAGAACCCCGAUUGCGAAGGCAGCGUGCCGUGCCGCCACUGACGCUGAGGCACGAAAGCGCGGGGAUCGAACAGGAUUAGAUACCCGAGUAGUC
rnacentral:rRNA from 1 species